rnacentral:rRNA from 1 species
AUUGAACGCUGGCGGCAUGCUUUACACAUGCAAGUCGAACGGUAACAGGGAGCUUGCUCCGCUGACGAGUGGCGAACGGGUGAGUAAUAUAUCAGAACGUACCCAAGAGUGGGGGAUAACGUAGCGAAAGUUACGCUAAUACCGCAUACGAUCUAGGGAUGAAAGUGGGGGAUCGCAAGACCUCAUGCUCCUGGAGCGGCCGAUAUCUGAUUAGCUAGUUGGUGAGGUAAUGGCUCACCAAGGCGACGAUCAGUAGCUGGUCUGAGAGGACGACCAGCCACACGGAAACUGUGACACGGUCCUGCCUCCUACGGGAGGCAGCAGUGGGGAAUUUUGGACAAUGGGCGCAAGCCUGAUCCAGCACUGCCGCGUGAGUGAAGAAGGCCUUCGGGUUGUAAAGCUCUUUUGUCAGGGAAGAAACGGGAGUGGCUAAUAUCCAUUCCUAAUGACGGUACCUGAAGAAUAAGCACCGGCUAACUACGUGCCAGCCGCCGCCGUAA